rnacentral:rRNA from 1 species
AGCAGCCGCGGUAAUUCCAGCUCCAAUAGCGUAUAUUAAAGUUGUUGCAGUUAAAAAGCUCGUAGUUGAAUUUCGGGAUUAGUACGUUGGUCGUGCCUUCGGUACGUACUGGUGUUACUGAUUCCUACCUUCUGACGAACCAUCAUGUCAUUAAUUUGAUGUGGCGGGGAAUCAGGACUGUUACUUUGAAAAAAUUAGAGUGUUUAAAGCAGGCUCGCGCUUGAAUACAUUAGCAUGGAAUAAUGAAAUAGGACGUUGACCCUAUUUUGUUGGUUUCUAGGAUUGACGUAAUGAUUAAUAGGGAUAGUUGGGGGUAUUAGUAUUCAAUUGUCAGAGGUGAAAUUCUUGGAUUUAUUGAAGACUAACUACUGCGAAAGCAUUUGCCAAGGAUGUUUUCAUUAAUCAAGAACGAAAGUUAGGGGAUCGAAGACGAUCAGAUACCGUCGUAGUCUUAACCAUAAACUAUGCCGACUAGGGAUCGGAUGAUGUUAAUUUUUUAAUGACUCA